GGAGGUUCAGGUCAGGACAUUUCAGAGCAGCCUGCUCAGACCUCUGCUCCCACUGUUCUUUUUCUGCUCUUUUUUGGCCACAGAGCUAUGGAGAAAUGACACUCACACCCACUGCAAAAUGGCUUGCUGACAAAUGUGUGAGAAGGGCCAGUGGGGCAGAGGCAUGGGAACUGGAGGUGAAGUGUGUGCCUGUUGGCUUAAAUUCAAACCAACCAGCCAAUCCUGGGCAGGAAGCACUUGCUGCCAGAGAUGCACAUGGCCAGGCAUGAGUCUGAGAGAAAGAUGACUGGUGAAAUGCAACAACCAUGAAGCUGAGGGAAGGUUCUGGAAGCAUCCAACCUAAAUCUUCUCUAUACUUAAUUAAACCAAAUUCUGUAUCCUGCAGUGACUAUAAAUAUUGAUUCUUCUUUAUUGAAACAACUUUUUACUACUUUUUUCCCCCCAUUUCUUAUGUUUUCUCCUCCCUAGGGAAAGCAGCACCCAGUUGCUCGCAGGUCAGUUUGGAUCUGUGCUAGAUAGCGUAAAUUCUAAUUAAAAAAAAAUAAAAAAUACUUAGGUUUGCAUCAUGGUAAGGGGUCAUUCCUGGGGAGGAAGGAAGACAGUGUCCAGCAGGCAUCCUCUCUCAGCAGUGCCCAGCCAGUUUUAGGCACCCACCAGGGAUAUUCUCUGCCCCAGGUUUGACACAGAUUUUGGGAACAAGCAUGUCACAGGACAAAGCUGAAGCACAAGCGGGCAGGAUGAUAAGGUUUGAUGGCACCAGCAUGUAAGCGCUCCACAGGAGAAGGGAUUUCACACUUAGCUUCAUUAAAUCUAUCUUCCUGCAAGAUAGGAAAAGUAAUCACCCAAACCAGUUAGAUUAUAGUGAUACAAUCUGACACAGAGCCAGAUGACAUCUUCUGAUUUUGUUUGAAGUUGACACCUUGAGACAAGGCAUAGCUGAGAGGAUCAGAGCAGUAAGAAGGUAGCAGGAACCUUCCCUCCCGCCCCCACAACUCCAUGAAAUCCAUUGCAGAGUAUUAAAAAUAAACCUGUGUAACCUAAUAAAUUGAAGAAGAUAUUUAAGUCAGAGUGGGACAAGGAAAGAAAGAGAGAGCCUAAAAUGUGAAACAAUAAAAACUAUUACUAGAAACCUAUUUCAAGAGUCACACAAAAAGUCCUUGAGACCUAAUGGCUAAAAAUAACCGCUUUCCAAAAUCAAUGGUAUUAAGUUAAACAUGCACAGUUUUUAUUCCUUGUAUUCUCAUGCAAAAUAUCCAAAUGUUAAUAUUUCUGUACUUCCAAAUCCAUUGGAGAAGACUAAUUAUUGCAACAUCCAUAAAAUUCUGCUGAUUAACUCCAUGAGUGCAAGUUUCCAGCCGUGUAGAGAAGUCCUGACCCCCAGCUUACAUUUUAGCAAAGAAAUGAGAUGGCUUAAAUCCAAGGGGUUUCUUAGGAAGUUGAAGUACUCCCAUUGCUUUAUUUUUAUUUUUGUUAAAUAAAGUGAUGGCCCAAGCAGUAACUAAAAUGAUAUAAAGCACCUUAUCUGAAAAAGCUGCAAUUACACUUCAGCCUCGGGAAUACCACAGAGCUGCUACAACCCAUUUUACCUGAUCCAUUAAUUAAAACAUUUUUCCUCUGUAUUACUGCAGAUCUCAACAAUAAAACCCACAGUGCUUCAGUUUAGAAUGAUGUAUAAUUUAUUCAUAUAAUUCACAAGUAGUUGGACACUACUCAAUUUAAUCUCCAUAUGCAAGUGAUUUACACAAACAUAUAAUACUAAAAUUGAUUGCUUAGAAGGUAAAAAAUACCAUGGGUAUGAAAUGCCAUGGUAGAUGCUGUUCAGUAUACUACACAAUCUUAGUGUCAAAUACUUCUAUUCAUUUAUGGUUUUAGAAAAAAAAGGCAGUUUGCCAUUUUAAAUUUUUUUAUAAGUAGUCUGGGAAACAUAAGCAGUUUUGUUCUAAACUUUCUAAUAAUUUAUUUCUCCCAGCUCUUAGGAACUGAAUUAACAACCAAAGCAACAUUUUCAGUAGUUCAAAGAAAAGACACAUAUUUUU